AGAUUUGGCUGCCUGAAGCGGCCAUGAUGCCAAUAUUAUGUUUCAUUGUAUUGAUAUGUUAUAUUGACCUUUGAUUCUUUUGAAGGUUUGAAUGUAUGUUGGCUGUCCUGGAAGGGGACUGUGUGGGGUGACCCCCAAAAGUAAAGGGUUUCUAGCUGCCAAGAGGGCAGGUGCCCAACUGAGCAGGGAAGGGUGCCCAUCAGGUUUUGGUCACUGUUGAGAGACAGGUAACAGUUGACA